AACGUAGGAGACAAACGUUAUCCGGAGUUACUGGGCGUAAAGGGCGUGUAGGUGGUUUCGUAAGUCUGGCGUGAAAUAUCUCGGCUUAACCGAGGCAGGUCGUCGGAUACUGCGGAACUAGAGGACGGUAGAGGCGUGUGGAAUUCCGGGUGUAGUGGUGAAAUGCGUAGAGAUCCGGAGGAACACCAGUGGCGAAGGCGGGUCUCUGGGCCGUAACUGACGCUGAGGAGCGAAAGCGUGGGGAGCGAACAGG
rnacentral:rRNA from 1 species